rnacentral:ncRNA from 1 species
CUAGAACGUCAUGCUGAGCUUGCCGAAGCAUCUCUACCGCUUCGUAACAGUCUCUCAACGAAGCGGUAGAGAUGCUUCGGCAAGCUCAGCAUGACGUCCUGGGGCCCUCUUCGCCGCCCAUCACCCAACUUCCCCAGAAUUCCUUCAGAUUUGCGCCGUUCCUUCGAAGCCAGUCCGCGCGGUGUGGGCUGGCUGCU